rnacentral:tRNA from 1 species
UAGAAGGAUGCUCGCUGGCUUGAGCGCUUAGGUGUUAACUACGAGUUUGUAGGAUGGAGGCCUUCCCAUCUAG